CCAUAUCACGUUGAAACACCAAAGUUAAGCUAUAUCGAGCAUGAUCAGUACUUAGAUGGGUGACUGCUUGGGAAUACCAGGUGAUGUU